rnacentral:rRNA from 1 species
GGGAGCCGGAGGGAAACCGAGUCUUAAUUGGGCGUUAAGUUGCAGGGUAUAGACCCGAAACCCGGUGAUCUAGCCAUGGGCAGGUUGAAGGUUGGGUAACACUAACUGGAGGACCGAACCGACUAAUGUUGAAAAAUUAGCGGAUGACCUGUGGCUGGGGGUGAAAGGCCAAUCAAACCGGGAGAUAGCUGGUUCUCCCCGAAAGCUAUUUAGGUAGCGCCUCGUGAAUUCAUCUCCGGGGGUAGAGCACUGUUUCGGCUAGGGGGCCAUCCCGGCUUACCAACCCGAUGCAAACUGCGAAUACCGGAGAAUGUUAUCACGGGAGACACACGGCGGGUGCUAACGUCCGUCGUGAAGAGGGAAACAACCCAGACCGCCAGCUAAGGUCCCAAAGUCAUGGUUAAGUGGGAAACGAUGUGGGAAGGCCCAGACAGCCAGGAUGUUGGCUUAGAAGCAGCCAUCAUUUAAAGAAAGCGUAAUAGCUCACUGGUCGAGUCGGCCUGCGCGGAAGAUGUAACGGGGCUAAACCAUGCACCGAAGCUGCGGCAGCGACACUCAGGUGUCGUUGGGUAGGGGAGCGUUCUGUAAGCCUGCGAAGGUGGCCUGUGAGGGUUGCUGGAGGUAUCAGAAGUGCGAAUGCUGACAUAAGUAACGAUAAAGCGGGUGAAAAGCCCGCUCGCCGGAAGACCAAGGGUUCCUGUCCAACGUUAAUCGGGGCAGGGUGAGUCGACCCCUAAGGCGAGGCCGAAAGGCGUAGUCGAUGGGAAACGGGUUAAUAUUCCCGUACUUGGUGUUACUGCGAAGGGGGGACGGAGAAGGCUAUGUUGGCCGGGCGACGGUUGUCCCGGUUUAAGCGUGUAGGUGUGUGUUCCAGGUAAAUCCGGUUCACUUUAACACUGAGGCGUGACGACGAGGCACUACGGUGCUGAAGCAACAAAUGCCCUGCUUC